GGAAGUAAAAGUCGAACAAGGUCUCCGUAGGUGAACCUGCGGAGGGAUCAUUACAGAGUUCAUGCCCUACCGGGUAGAUCUCCCACCCUAUGUUAUUAUUACUUUGUUGCUUUGGCGGGCCGUUAGGCUCCGGCCCGACUACCGGCCCCGGCUGGUAAGCGCCCGCCAGAGGACCCAAAACCCUGAAUAUUAGUGUCGUCUGAGUACUAUAUAAUAGUUAAAACUAUCAACAACGGAUCUCUUGGUUCUG
rnacentral:misc_RNA from 1 species